rnacentral:lncRNA from 1 species
GAGGAUUCGCAAAAGCAUGUUUGAGAAACUGAGGCUGACAGAUGCAGCACUGAACAGUAAUUACAUGAAAAGUGUUAGAAUGUUUCUUAGAAAAAAAAUUUUAUGAAAAGAAGAGUCAGUCUUUCUCUAUAGUUAAUUACCCCACAUUAGAAAAGAGUAUUAUUGUUUCCAAUUCUAAGAAGGGGCAAAGUGUCGACACUUUGGUCUUCGUUCUUCUUCAGAACCAUGUCUUAAUGUUUCUAUGGUAAGCUGCUUACCCACAAAGCAUACUCGUCAGCCCCGUAAUUUUUGUGUAAUUCAAAUACACACAUAAAGUAUGUCAUCUGAUUAUUAUUUUGAAGACAUUUCUCACACCAUGUUUGUGAUACAUGAGGGUAGUGGUGAUGAUGGUGAUGGUGCAUGCAUGAUUGCAUGCAUGCAUGCAUGUGUGUGUGUGUGUGUGUGUGUGUGUGUGUGUGUGUGUGUGUGUGUUUCUGUUCUGGCUCAGAUUUCAUACUUGAUGACAGCUCAUGAUGGUGAGGAUGUGGUGCAUACAAAGGGAAUACUCCUCCAUUGCUGGUAAGAGCGCACACUAAACAACUACUCUGGAAAUCAAUUUGGCAGUCUCUCCGAGAAUUGGGAAUAGUUCUACCUCAAAGUCCAGCUAGAUCACUUCUAGGCGUAAACUCAAAAGAUUCUCUACCAUACCACAAGGACACUUGCUUCAUUAAGUUCAUAGCAGCCUUAUUUGUAAUAGCCAGAAACUGGAAACACUCUGAUGUUCCUCAACUAAACAAUGGCUAAAGAAGAUGUGAUUCAUUUAUACAAUGGAGCAUUACUUAUCUAUUAAAAACAAGGGCAUCUAUUUAAAAAAAAACAAAACAAAACAAGGAAAUUGGCAGACAGGUGAACAGACCUAGAAAAUAUCAUCCUGACUGAGGUAAACUGGCCCCAAAAGGAAAUGUGUAUAUACUCACCUGGUACUGGGAGGGCUCUAGUAAGUCUAUGAGGGUUACUCUAGCUGAGAUUUUUAGCAGUGGGGGGAAAUGGAGCCUGAAGUACCCAACUCUUGCAACUAGGCAGACAAAAAACCCCCACCCACAAAACCUUUGACCUAAAAUUUGUCCUGAUUACAAUAAGUGCAAGGACCAAGGUGGAGCAGAGAAUGAGAGAAUGGUCAACCAAAGACAGAUCCAACUUGAGAACCAUCUCACGGGUAUGAACAAAUCCCUGACACUAUUAAUGGUCCUCUGUUAUUUUGUAGACAGAAGCCUAACAUAACAGUUCUCUGAGAGGCUCCACCAAGCAGCUGACUGAAAUACAUGCAAAGACCCACAGCCCAAAUUUAGACAGAGCUCAGGGAGUCUUGUGGAAGAGUUAGGGGAAGGAUUGGGAAACCAAAUAGAGGGUAGGAACUCCACAGGAAGACCAACAGAUCAACUAACAUGAAUCAUUGGUGGUUCCCAGAGAUUGAACCACCAACCAAAGAUCAUAUAUGGGCUGAACUCAGGCCCCAUCCUGCACAUAGAUAGCAGAUAUGCAGCUUGCUCUACAUGUAAGUCUCCCAACAACUAGUGUGUGUGUGUGUGUGUGUGUGUGUGUGUGUGUGUGUGUGUGUGUGUGUUUGUGUGUGUGUAUGUGUUGGGGGACUGUCCUUGACUCUGUUGCCUGCUUGUAGAUCCUGUUUCCUAACUAGGCUGCCUUGUUUGGCCUCAGUGGGAGAAGAAGUGUUUAGUCCUGUAGUGACUUGAUGUGCCCUGGUGGGUUGGUAUCCAGGACAGACUCCUACUUCUCAGAUCAGGGGAGGAGUGAGGAAGGGGCUUUGUGAGGGGGAGAAUAGAUGGACAGGGGGUCUGCAAUAGGGAUGUAAAGUGAAUAAAUAAACGAAUUAAUGGAGAGAAACAUAAAAUUAAGUUGCAAAACUGAAUUCAUGUUUGAAAAUGUAUAUCUAUAACUUUUCUAAAGAUAUGUUGUAGUAUUUGCAAAGACCGGAAUUCUGAGAACUAAAGGAAAACUGAACAGUCCUUUCUCUCUGCCCCACACCUGUUUAAAAAAAAAAACAAAAAACAAAAAACAAAAAAAUACCAAACAUCUCUAUACGUUUUCAGGAGUGUAGAAGCUAAUGUGUGCUAGUGCUAUAUUCUGUUGGUUCUUACCGUGUAUGUGCAUGCUGAGAGAGGAUUUAAAUUUCUCCCCAUUUAGCAGUGUGCAUUCUAGGGUUUGUGCCAGAUUGGCCUUAAAAUAAACAAUAACUUCCAUCAUAAAUCUUUUUUUUUCAUUUUGGCACACUUCUUACAUUUUCACAAGAGCCUAGAUGAUUUCCUAGAACUCUUGUUUGCUCUUAGUUAUCAUGCUUACAACUCCAUAGGCCAGUGUUCGCUCUUUAGAGACCCAUGUUCACAGUCCCUACUAGGUUCUUUUUGUUUCAUUUGGCUAUGCCUGUUUUCCAUCAUGGAGAGAGUGCCCAUUUCUUCUUUCAAUAUACCACCUUUGCUCCUAGAAAACAAGUUUCUACUGCACAGUGCUCUUUGGGUUGAUGGGCUCUUCUCUCUCUCUCUCUCUCUCUCUCUCUCUCUCUCUCUCUCUCUCUCUCUCUUUCUCUCUCUCUCCUCUUUCUCUCCUCCUCUCCCUCUCUCUGUCUCUCUAUCUCUACCUUCCCCAUGAUUGAAAUUUCAAAUCCAGCCACUGGUUUAGCUCAGGAACCACAUACUCUCUUAGCAAAUUUAUCAAAGUUGUGUUCAGAAGAGUUGACUGGCACCAUGUCAAUUCCUGAGGAGUUAAGAUAAAAUAUCUAGUCAAUAGAAGAGUGUUUUAAUGAGCUGACCCCAUAUCUGACGCUGUUGUUGAUCCUAUUUACAAAACCAACUAAGCUGUGUUUCGAUAGAUGGAUGCUACUGAACUAUGUUUUCUCUUCUUUCUUUUUGUUCUUCUGGAAAGGAAGUGUAAAUUCAACCAGUAGUGCAAAUAUCAUUUUACACUCUAGAUCCUCAAAAGAAACUUCAUAAAUCUGUCAUGGAAAGAAAGUUGCAUAUAUGAAUCACUGAGUAAUUCACAGACGGUGAACUCAUUAGAGGAGGAAGACAUGGAUACACAUUACUGGAAAAAGUACCCAUGGAAUUUGCAUAUGGUUGAAUUAUAGUAGUCUCAGCUCUUUAAUAACUGAGAUUUUAAAAGCGGGUUCAGAUUGACUAGCUAGAAAAUUUAUUCUAAAAGUAAACAAUUUUACUAUAUGAAUUCUAACUUCUCCAUAAAAGGGUACUGAAUAUGUGAUAUAUGCAAACCCUUCCAUUAUGAAUCAAAUCACCUGUCUUGUAUUUUUACAAUGUCUAAGUGGGACUUAAGUGGUAGAAAAGAAGUACUGCUGUUCAAACUCCCUGCAUUAACUCUUCUAAUUAUUUCCAGAUUUAAUCAUUAUUUGUACUCUGAAUGAGUCAUUUAAAGUUUCAAAAACUUGGUUUCUCAGACUGUAUAUUGGGGGUUUAAAUUAUGGAUUGUAUUUAUAUUGAGCACGUGGGAAAAGGAGAUAUUAUAUGACCAACAGUAUAUUAAGCCUAAACCGUCUCCUUUUGUCAACUCUAGCAUAAUAAGUAACACACAACACUGGAUGAUCUAAAACCACCUACGGGAGAGGACAAAGCAGUAUCUACUCCAGUGCCAUCAUUAGCCCAAGUGUGUAUUCCCUGUGCAAAAACAGGCAAAUGCUGAAAAGAAACUUAAUGGGCUUUCUUUCUCUUUUCCAUCAAUUUUGAGGAAUGUGCUCUUAAGAAGUUUAGGAAAGUAUCAAUACAGAAUGAUCCCAAAUACAAGGAAGUUGUGUUGGGAAACCCGAGUUAAGACAACACCCCAGUAGUCAUGUGAGCCUUGGGAGAGUUUGGGAAGUACCUCAGGGCCUCUGAGGAUAAAGGCUUGGCUUCACCUUAUUCUAAAAUUUCUUCCUGGAUCUCUGCCUGUGGAUACCAGCGGGUGCCAAGCUGGCUGCACUUGCCUCCCCUGCCAGCUUUGCCCUGUUGUCCUUUCGAAAGGAAACUGAAGAGCUAGGGGACUCCUGGCUGCUAGCAGGACUCUUUAGCUACACCUGAGGUUGCUUCACACCAAAUGUCAUUAGUAACAUGAGAGACGAUAGCAUCAAAAGUUGUUCAAAACCGCGUUUCUGAAGGGUUACAGCUCUUCUCUCUUUUAGUGACAUUUCUGAAGCCUUAACUCUCCUAGAAUUUCCAAAUAUAAAAAAAAAGUAACAAUGAAAACAUGUAAUUGUGACAUGGGAAUACUGCGAGAACAGCAGUUUGGCAGGAAAAAGAAAUAUUUCAAAAUAAGUCCCAAGCAAGCAAAGUUCUGGCAGAUACACGAUCCUGGAUUAUAUUAUCCAAACUGUUAGAUUCUGGAAGAUUUGGGGUUUUCUUUUGUGGUUCCCAUACACUCAAUAGAAUGGUCAUAGAUGACUGUCAUCCACACUGUGUGGCCCUUCUAUUUAUUCCUACUCUACUGUGGGAAAAAUGUACAAGGGACACCAGUGAACUCAGGAACGGCUAGCCUGGGUAGAAUACAUAUGUUGAGCUAAUGCCUACUGUCACACAUAAUGCUCUUAAGUGAAGAUCACUUGAAAAAGCCACUCUCCUAACACCUUCCAAAGCUCAGGCAGAAUCCUAGUGCCUGUCUGCCUUAGCACCAAUUAAAUCUCUGAACUGGCUACGAAUCAUGUUUAAAGAUAGUACUAUUUGCUUCUAUGUGCAGAAACUUACAUUACAUUACUGUUCCUUUUUUUCUUUAAGAUUCUUGGUAUUUGAAAAAAAUAUCCUGUUUGAGCUUCAAAAGAGAUAUCACCGUCAGUGGAAGAAUAGGAGGGAAGCAUAAAGGAAAUGUACGUUAGUUCCAGAAACCCUGGAAAUCUAGUACAGCCAAGCUAACUCACACGGAGGUGACACUACAUAGAAUUAGGAGAAAUUCCUGUUCCCGUCUGUAAAUCAGAUUAAGUGCUUUAGAAUUCAAACCAUAUCUCUUUCAGCUCUUUUCAUUUUCAAAUAAAAUGUUUAAAUGGGAACG